rnacentral:snRNA from 1 species
CCAGCGGCUGGAAGAGCACCG